GGCGGCCGCCGCCACCGCCCGCCCGGACCGCCCGGACCGCCGCGGGGCGACGGGCCCGAGACGGCGCCCCGCGCCCCGGAUUCGCCUCGGCUCGGCCGCGCGUAUAUUUCCCUUCCUCCAUGAUCUCCAACACUGAUAGAGUGGAAGAAACUGAGGUACCAUGAAAAAGAAAAGUAACUGGGACUGAGAAAAGGAAAGAGGUAGGGGGUUACACUCAGAUUUUCAUCUGACUUUCUGACCCAUGGUUUCCCACUGUACUCCAAUGUUUAUCUUUAAAGUGGUAUCAGGAAUCAGAUGGAAGGUUGAAAAGGAGUCCAAAAGUAGCGUUCUCAUCCAGAGAUUUGGUCAGAGAAGUCAUAAAAUAAAACUUGCCAGUUGAGCAAUGCUAGCAGAGGAAGAAGGGCAAAUAGCUCAGUUCAACCCUAUUUCGUUCUUGUCACCCUUUUCUUACUACAGUUUCCUCCCAUUCUUUUGAUCUCACUUUGACCUUUUCCUUGCUUCCCAUCCCAUGCCUGUGGAAUCAUUUCUCUCCUGGGUUAUUUCUCUGUCUCUUGAGUAUAGCUGCCAGCCACCCAGCAACCCCUGAAGAAGGAGGGGUAGGUAGGCAGCAACCAGAAAGUAAUAGUGACAGGGCAUAUUUUUGCUGACAAGGUUUAAAUAUUCUUUAUUGAUGUGCCACCCCCCAACCCCAGCUAAUGCUCUUUAUUGAGCAUUGAUUUCCAUCUUUUUCUUAACCUGGACUUCGGAGUUCUCUUGUUUCUGCUCCCAUAUCAUUCCUGUACUGAGUGUAACUCCUAUUCUCUUCCAUUUGAUUUUGUUAUGUCCUCUUUCUCGGUCCUUGUGUACUAGUCCUUCUGGGUAUCCCCCUCUUUCUGUACAUGGGCUUCUGUGUAUGUGUGUCUUUAUUUUUUACCGAGACUGUCCUUUCUCAUCCCUUGACUCUCAGGCUCUGUCACCUCUAAGUGACUUUCCAUCUCUGUCUUCUUUCUGUUUACUUCUGUCUUCCGGGCUCUGACUGCGUGUGCCUCUUCCUCAUGUGUGCCUGACUCCCCCUCUUUCUGGCCUCUCGGUGUGUGUCUGGGAAGAGUGUCCCCACGUGCAUGUGGGCAGCCCUGCGCAUCAUGGUGCGCCCUCUCCCUCUGUGCUGAGCGCCUCUGCCUGCCUGCCUGCCACAUGUGCCAUGAGCUGCAGGUGUGGGGGGCGAAAGGUGGCUGUGUGCAUCCCUGUACAAACAUUCAUCGUUCUCUCGAGUGCGCUUUGCAUAUGGAUCUGUUAAUUUGCCUGAUUCUCCCUCUUGUCCAUCUCCCCCUCUGCCUGCCUGCAUCUCCCGUUCUCUCUUCUCUCCCUACUGAUCUCUUGAUUUUUCUUCUCUCCUUGUUUCCGCCUGCCCCUCUACCUGCUUGCUCCUAGCAUGGUGUCUGCCUGCCUGUCUGCUCCUCCCGGACUGGCUGGCAGCCUCUUUCUCUCUCUGGUUGUCUGUCUGCUUCUCUGGCUGUUUGCCCACCACUCUCUCUCUAGCCAUCUGUCUCCCCGCCUGCCUGUCUCUAUCACUUUUUUAGUCUCCGUCUCUUGGUUUGUCUACCUUCCAGGCCCUACCAUGGUUCCCUGUCUUGGUUUGCCUCUUAUCUUGCCUUCUACUUGUUCCUUCUCUUCUUUAUGUCUAUUUAGUUCAUGCUUUUUCCUGGCCUCCCUCUAUGUAUGUCUUCUUGCCUGUCUACUCUGCUUGCUUGCUGCUGUCCCACUGUUUAAUGCUUGUAUCUUUUUAGUGUGUCUGCUUAUCAGCAUUUUCUCCCUCGGCUUCCGCUGUUCCAGCAUCCCAUCAAUGGUGAUAGUCUCGCUACCGCAGACCUGUCAGUGACCCCCUUGCCCCAAAGUCUUACCUGCCUUCUUGCCAUAUCCCCUACCCUGCCUUCUCUCACUGCUUGCCUCUGUUUCAGUUCUUUCUUUUUCUUUUUAUCUUUCUGGCCCCUCACACAGUCUGCCUGCCUCAAUCUUUUUGCCGUUUUCCCAGUCUCUCCUUGUCUUUCUGCUUUUUUGCUAUCUGUCUGCCUGGCUGGCCCUUGCUGUCCACAUCUCUGCUUGCUUUUUUUCUCCUCCUUUUUCUAUCAGCUUUUACAUAGAUAGUGCAUACACAUGGUACAAAAUUUUUAAAGUACUAAAAGUAUCCAGUAUGAGAGUAAGCCUCCCUCCUACCCCCCACUUCCUCUCCUCUGAGGUAGUCACUACACAUUUCUUGGAUCUUGUUCGAGAGAAGAGUCUACACAUGUACGUCUAAUUGCUUUUUGCUGCACUCCUUCCAAAUUCUGUCCCCGUUUUGCUGGAUGCUUCUUCCUCUGUCAGUCUGUCAGUACUCCUUCCCAUUUCACUGGGCUUGCCAUUUCUUGCUUCUUGUUUUUUUGACUCUAUUUUAUGGUACUUGUCUUUUUGAUUGACUGCUUGCUAGUUACACGCUUUUACUACCAGGACCUGAGGUGUGCUUAGGAAGGGCUUGCCUCUGUCCUAAUAUCCUGUUCUGCUCUGCGUCUUGAGUUGUCCUGAUGACCACACGCCAUUGCUGGUCUCUUCAUCACUGAACUAUGUAUUAAUUGAGAAAAGCCAUGAAAGCACUGGUAGUACUGAAAAAUACCUUGUAAAUAUAGGAACAAUUAAUAAGUACAGAUGGUUUGUAAGCUGAGCUUACAUGCACAUGGAGUAGAUGGGGCCCACUCUGCUUUUCCCAGUCUAUAUGAAUUCUUUAAAGGAAUAUGAAUCUAGAUCCUUUUAGGUUCAGCAGUACUCUUAGGCUGUUGACCUAGGCCUGUCCAAGAAGUUUGUCUUCCUCCUAGUCUAAAAAACUCUGCUUCUUACUAACACUUUCUCCCUUUUUCAUCCUUCCUUCUGGCUCUUCUCACAUGCCACCUUAGAGAUGUUAUAACUCCUUGGGGGAAGCACAGACAACAGCCUCUAUCCAGUUCUCUUCAGAAAGAUGAUGAUAAAACUUUUACACACAAUGCACUGUUCUUUCAUUUUUGCUUUUUCACUGCCUGUAUUCCUGAAUUUAACUGUUUCAGCCUCUAUCUCUGUCUCUCUCCUCUUUUUCCCUCUCUUCCUCUCUCACUUCUCUUUUCUUGGUUCUGUCUUUCCUCUUAACUGUCUGUCUUGGGCUCCAUUCUAGCCUCUCUUUCUGAUUGGCCACCUUCCGCUCUUCUGUCUGAUUGGCCUGUAUCCCUCCAUCACCCCAUCUGUCUGCUGGAUUCUCCCUGUCUGCCUGCAAUAAUGUAUGUGAUAGCACUUUAUAAAUUAUAAAGCACUAUGUAGUAUAAAACGCUAUUAUCACUUUGUCUUCUUUCUUUGUUUAUUGUUUUCUUUCUCUGUCUGCUUUCCUUCUCUCUCUCUCUCCCCCUUUCUGUUUGUCUGUCUGUCUGCGUCCCUCUUGGUGAUCUUGCCUGCCUCUCUGUCUCUCUGUCAGUAAUUCUCCUUUCUCUCCUUGCCAGCUUGUCUGGGUUUUUUGCCAUGCUUCUUCUCUGUGUGCUCAGUUCUUGUGUCUCUCCUUCUGUGUUUCCAGGUUCCUCUCUGUUUCUUUUAGCUGUCUAUUCUGUCUGUCCUGAGGCCUUUCAUAUGUGCCUGUGUGUCUUGCUCUCUCCAGCUGCUUGUGUCCCUGCCUGUCAGUUCCAAAGUGGGCACCACUCUGCUUUUUUCUAUCUUUCUGUACUUCAAAAAAUAAAAAUAAAAUAAAAAAUUAAAAUACCGUAUAACUAAUUGGUAGGAGAGAUUUUUUUUGUUUUUAAUGAGAAGACCAUUAAGGAAGUGAGAACAGGAACUCAGGAAUACAGCUGUCAAAUGCAAACCAGAAAUUAGAUGCCAACCCCUGCUGCUGCAAAAAAAAAGAACAAGAAAAUUGUAAGGGACUCCCAAGCCAAUAAUAAGAUUAUUUAUUGAAAGCAAAAGCUAGAAACAUCCAGAGCUAUAGUUUCUAACCUUUUUUUUUUUGGAUCAUAGAAAGUUAUAAACCCCUUUCCCCAGAAAAACUGUAUCUACACAAAAUACCACAUAUGUUAUCCUGAAACCUAUGGAGCCCAGGUUAAAACCCUGAUGUAGGGAACCUAUGAGAAUGAUUAAUAGAGCACAGGCAUGAACUCAUGCAACAAGAAGAUCAAAGGACUGAAAAAGCACUUUGCAGUCUGUGAUUUACUACCGAAGGAGAUGUUAAAGAGAUUCCUAGUUAUCUUUUGAAGUAUAGAAGUUAGUGGUAAUAAUGAAAGGCAUGUAAACGCUGAGGAUUUUCUAGGCUUAAUCAUGGAAUUUUAGAGAGAAGGUCAUCUAAACCAGUGUUUAGAUGGCUAAGUAAGGUUGCCACCUGUCCUUUCCUGGGGAGCUGUGUCCUUUGUUCUGACAUUAUAUAUUUCUCAUAUAUUUUUAUAUAAAAUAAAUGUGUAAUAUGCUAUAUUUAUAUGAAACAAAUAUGUAAUAUAUAUAUGCUAAUGUAUUUAACAGUAUAUUAUGUUUAUUUAAAAUGUUCUAAAAAUGAGGUAGAUCUGUGUUAGAAGGAUGUCUAUGAUAGAUGUUACAGGGAGAGAGAAGGAGAAAGAAAAUGAGUUUUUAUACUUCUGUACAACUUGAAAAUUUUUCAACAUACAGGUACUUGUGUUAUAGUUACAAAAUAAUAUUUUUAAUAUCUUUCUGUUAAAUAAUGGUGAUGGGUAUAUAGGUUUGGUUUUGUUCUUUUUUUUUUUGGUUUUGUUCUUAAUGUCAUUAAUUAGCGCAAUAAAAAGUCAGGAACUCCA